CACACGACUCUCGGCAACGGAUAUCUCGGCUCUCGCAUCGAUGAAGAACAUAGCGAAAUGCGAUACCUGGUGUGAAUUGCAGAAUCCCGCGAACCAUCGAGUCUUUGAACGCAAGUUGCGCCCGAGGCCACCCGGCCGAGGGCACGCCUGCCUGGGCGUCACGC
rnacentral:rRNA from 1 species